AAACAAUGCAAAAUAAAAUAAACGAAAUACAUCUUGAGAUUAAACAUUCCAGUUGAAGGUGUGUUCUUUCUUAAACUGGAAUGAUAAUUUUGUAAUUAUGUAGGCACAUCUAUUGAGAAGUUACAACCAGUGGCAAAGUGCCUCAAGGGAAUCUAUGACAUAUAAUUGGAGGUAUGAGUAUAUGGUUCAAAUUAAUUGUUGGAUGAUUCUGAGAAAGUGUAAAUUUUGGUCAUGAAUUUGGUACAUAACUGUCUUUAUCUAAACUCUAAAAACCAUUGACAUCUGUUUUGAAAAACCAUGUUCCUAGAAACCAUUGAUAACAAAUAUAGACGGUUACCUCUGCAUUCGUUGUAUCAUCUUGCUACCCUAUCCAUAGUAUCAGCAUUGGCUCUACAGCCCAUGGUGGGUCUUGGCCUGUUCCAGAAUCAGCUUCCACUCUUUUCUAUGCUUUGCUUGGCUUUCCAAUUUCUCACUCAAGCAUGAAUUUUUGGUAUAUAUGGGAUUAUAUUGUGAUAACAACCAGAUCUAUGAGAAUAGUAUGUUGUUAAAGAAGAUUGUGGUGACACUAUUCAUGAAUAUCUGAUAAUAUUGGUUAAUGUGAAUGGAGUCCAAAAUGGGGUUUAGGCUGUUAUAUAAAAAACUAGGUCAUUAGCAUAUGGAAGUAGGGCGACAUUAUCUGGUAUUAAAUUAUGUGAAUGAGAAGAAUUAAACCUAAUAACUCUAUUUAUUCUGCUAAUCAAUAUGAUUUUAAUAUAUUUUAAUAUAAAACAUAUGUUAUUCUUUUUAGGGACAUCUCUGAAGGAAUUACAAUUAUUUGCCAGUAUGUCAAAUGAAUUUUCAACAUCAGUCAUACUUUCAUUAAUUUAUUGAUGAAAAUAAAACUAGGUACAUGA
rnacentral:lncRNA from 1 species